GACGAACGCUGGCGGCGUGCUUAACACAUGCAAGUCGAACGGAAAGGCCCUGCUUUUGUGGGGUGCUCGAGUGGCGAACGGGUGAGUAACACGUGAGUAACCUGCCCUUGACUUUGGGAUAACUUCAGGAAACUGGGGCUAAUACCGGAUAGGAGCUCCUGCUGCAUGGUGGGGGUUGGAAAGUUUCGGCGGUUGGGGAUGGACUCGCGGCUUAUCAGCUUGUUGGUGGGGUAGUGGCUUACCAAGGCUUUGACGGGUAGCCGGCCUGAGAGGGUGACCGGCCACAUUGGGACUGAGAUACGGCCCAGACUCCUACGGGAGGCAGCAGUGGGGAAUAUUGCACGAUGGGCGGAAGCCUGAUGCAGCAACGCCGCGUGCGGGAUGACGGCCUUCAGGUUGUAAACCGCUUUCGCCUGUGACGAAGCGUGAGUGACGGUAAUGGGUAAAGAAGCACCGGCUAACUACGUG
rnacentral:rRNA from 1 species